GGGUGACGAAGCGACGCCGCGUGGGUGAGGAAGGCCCUCGGGUUGUAAAGCCCUGUCAGGAGUUAAGAAAUGUAAGUGCGCUAAUAUCGCAUUUAUUUGACGAAGGCUCCAAAGGAAGCCACGGCUAACUCUGUGCCAGCAGCCGCGGUAAUACAGAGGUGGCAAGCGUUGUUCGGAAUUAUUGGGCGUAAAGAGCACGUAGGUGGGUUUGUAAGUCAGAUGUGAAAGCCUUCUGUUCAACGGAAGAAUUGCAUCUGAAACUACAAGUCUUGAGUGUAGGAGGGGAGAAUGGAACUUCUGGUGGAGCGGUGAAAUGCGUAGAUAUCAGAAGGAACGCCGGCGGCGAAAGCGAUUCUCUGGCCUAUUACUGACACUCAGUGUGCGAAAGCUAGGGGAGCAAACGGGAUUAGAUACCCCGGUAGUCCUAGCCGUAAACGAUGGGCACUAAGUAGAGG
rnacentral:rRNA from 1 species